UAAAAAUUAUUGUCAAAAAGAACGAGAGAGAUACGUACAGUGGAAAUUUGAUAAUAAAUUAAAAUCAAUUGACCAGUUGACAGAACGUGAAAAACGAUGUCGGCGAAUAUUACAAAAUAUGUGGCAAAAAUUAUCACGGCUCAAGAAAACAGAACUCCAAACUUCAGCUCUGGACGAAAACAACAACGAGAUGAAUGACAACAACAAUAACAUUAAUAAAAAUAUCUCUAAACAGGCUUCGUUGUCUCGAUUGUCAACCUGGCAUAAUAUGUGAACAUUUCUCGAUGGGA